rnacentral:rRNA from 1 species
UACGUAGGUGGCAAGCGUUGUCCGGAUUUACUGGGCGUAAAGAGCGCGCAGGCGGUCUUGUAAGUCGAAUGUGAAAGCCCCUGGCUCAACUGGGGAGGGUCACGCGAUACUGAUCGACUCGAAGGCAGGAGAGGGUAGUGGAAUUCCCGGUGUAGUGGUGAAAUGCGUAGAUAUCGGGAGGAACACCAGUGGCGAAGGCGGCUUUCUGGCCUGUUCUUGACGCUGAGGCGCGAAAGCUAGGGGAGCAAACGGGU